rnacentral:rRNA from 1 species
GGAUGUUCGGAUGCAUAAACAACUAGGAUGUUGGCUCAGAAGCAGCCAUCAUUAAAAGAGUGCGUAAUAGCUCACUAGUCGAGUGACCGAGCGCCGAAAAUGUACCGGGGCUAAGCAUACUACCGAAGCUGCGGAUUGUUGUGAUAAACAACAGUGGUAGGGGAGCGUUCUAUACAGGAAGAAGGCAGACUGAGAGGACUUCUGGACAGUAUAGAAGUGAGAAUGCAGGUGUAAGUAACGAGAAGACGGGUGAGAAUCCCGUCCGUCGAAAACCCAAGGAUUCCAGGGGAAGGUUCGUCCUCCUUGGGGAAGUCGGGGCCUAAGGUGAGGCUGAGAAGCGUAGCUGAUGGACAACUGGUUUAUAUUCCAGUACUAGUUAUCAUCUGAUGGAGGGACGAAGGAGGCUAAGCUCCGGGGAUUAGUGGAUUUCCCCAAAGAUACCGAGUCUUGUAGAUAGGCAAAUCCGUCUACUUUAAGGACGAGGUAUGAAUAAUAAAGGAGUAUGAUGUCAAACUUCCAAGAAAAGCUUCUAAGAUAAUGAUAACUACCCGUACCGUAAACCGACACAGGUGGGUGAGAAGAGAAUUCUAAGACGCGCGAGAAAACCCUUGUUAAGGAACUCGGCAAAAUGACCCCGUAAGUUAGCGAGAAGGGGGACUUAUAGAGAUAUAAGUCGCAGAGAAGAGGCCCAAGCAACUGUUUAACAAAAACACAGGUUUGUGCAAAAUCGAAAGAUGAAGUAUACGAGCUGACGCCUGCCCGGUGCUGGAAGGUUAAGAGGAGAGGGUAGGAGCUGACAUGUCAGCUUCGAAGCUUCGAAUUCAAGCCCCAGUAAACGGCGGCCGUAACUAUAACGGUCCUAAGGUAGCGAAAUUCCCUGUCAGGUAAGUUCGGACCCGCGCCAAAUGCGUAAUGUCUUUGGGCGCUGUCUCAACAAGGGGCUCGUUGAAAUCAUACUGCCGGUGAAAAUGCCGGCUACCCGCGACUAGACGGAAAGACCCCAUGGAGCUUUACUGUAGCUUGAUAUUGAUACUUGGUAUGUGAUGCACAGGAUAGGUGGGACACAAUGAAAUUAGGACUUUGGUCUUGAUGGAGUGGCCGUUGGGAUACCACCCUUUGCAUGUUGAGCGUCUAACUAGUGUUAGUGGAUAACAAAGGACAGUGUCAGGUGGGCAGUUUGACUGGGGCGGUCGCCUCCUAAAGAGUAACGGAGGCGCUCGAAGGUUCCCUCAGAAUGGUUGGAAAUCAUUUGAAGAGUGUAAAGGCAGAAGGGAGCUUGACUGAGAGACAAACAAGUCGAUCAGGGACGAAAGUCGGACUUAGUGAUCUUGCGGUACCGAGUGGAAGGGCCGUGACUUAACGGAUAAAAGCUACCCUGGGGAUAACAGGGUGAUCAUAACCAAAAGACCAUAAAGCCGGAAUGGUGUGGCACCCCGAUGUCGGGUCGUCGCAUCCUGGGGCGGGAGAAGGUUCGAAGGGUUGGGCUGUUCGCCCAUUAAAGCGGCACGCGAGCUGGGUUCAGAACGUCGUGAGGCAGAUCGGUCUCUAUCUAUCGUGGGCGCAGGAGACUUGAGUGGGCCGGCCACUAGUACGAGAGGACAGUGGUUGACAGACCUCAGGAUUACCGGUUGUGCGCGGAGGUGCACAGCCG